CCUACGGGGGGCAGCAGUGAGGAAUAUUGGUCAAUGGACGAGAGUCUGAACCAGCCAAGUAGCGUGAAGGAUGACUGCCCUAUGGGUUGUAAACUUCUUUUAUAUGGGAAUAAAAUGUUCCACGUGUGGGAUUUUGUAUGUACUAUAUGAAUAAGGAUCGGCUAACUCCGUGCCAGCAGCCGCGGUAAUACGGAGGAUCCGAGCGUUAUCCGGAUUUAUUGGGUUUAAAGGGAGCGUAGGUGGAUUGUUAAGUCAGUUGUGAAAGUUUGCGGCUCAACCGUAAAAUUGCAGUUGAAACUGGCAGUCUUGAGUACAGUAGAGGUGGGCGGAAUUCGUGGUGUAGCGGUGAAAUGCUUAGAUAUCACGAAGAACUCCGAUUGCGAAGGCAGUUCACUGGACUGCAACUGACACUGAGGCUCGAAAGUGUGGGUAUCAAACAGGAUUAGAUACCCGGGUAGUC
rnacentral:rRNA from 1 species